CGCCAGAUAGCUCAGUUGGUUAGAGCACAUGACUAGAAAUUCGUGGGGCUCGAGUUUGAAUCCCGGUCUGGUCC
rfam:Crassostrea gigas strain 05x7-T-G4-1.051#20 contig13814, whole genome shotgun sequence.